rnacentral:lncRNA from 1 species
CUUUCUAAAUGAGCAAUCUGCAUCAAGCCAGAGGAACGAGGAAGAAAGUGAGGUGCACCCUGACCUCAGAUGUCUGUCUUCCGUCAUCAGAGCAGUUUCUUGCUCUUCCGGACUCGGAUGGCCGUGUUAAACCCCACAUGUGGUUCUGUGGUUGCCCACAAAGCUUAAAAAUAGCCAACAGGAACAGGGGAAUCCCCACUGAUGAGGAAACUGAGCCUCUAAGAGAUGAAAUACCCCAUUUGAAGCUAAGGAGUGUGGAUCUCUCACCCCUACUGUGGCUUGUUUAUCUUGAGCUGGGGACACAAGAAAAAGAACAGGCCCUUCAGAGCCACAUAGACUUUGCUUCCAACUGCAGCCACCCUGGCCACUCCUGGUGGCCUCAGCUGUACCAUAGGGGCUGUGUUGCCCACUUGUAGGAGGAUUGUGGUGGGGAUCCAGGGAAAUAAGGCCCUUGGCACCCACAGCAGGUCCAUCACUGCUACCAGAACUCAGCGUACAGUUUCUGGCCUUCCACCACUUGAGACCAAGCUUCCAAAGUAGGAAGAGUGUGUCCCCCAUCAAAGAAGUGAAAGCACC